rnacentral:misc_RNA from 1 species
GAUGAAGAACGUAGCGAAAUGCGAUAAGUAAUGUGAAUUGCAGAAUUCAGUGAAUCAUCGAAUCUUUGAACGCACAUUGCGCCCGCCAGUAUUCUGGCGGGCAUGCCUGUCCGAGCGUCAUUUCAACCAUCAAGCCCCGGGCUUGUGUUGGGGACCUGCGUCCGAUGCAGGCCCUGAAAACCAGUGGCGGGCUCGCUGUCCACACCGAGCGUAGUAACUAACCUCGCUAUGGAGUGGCGCGGGCGCCUGCCGUAAAACCCCCAAUCUCACAAGGUUGACCUCGGAUCAGGUAGGAAUACCCGCUGAACUUAAGCAUAUCAAUAAGCGGAGGA